rnacentral:rRNA from 1 species
UACGGGGGGGGCAAGCGUUGUUCGGAUUUACUGGGCGUAAAGGGCGCGUAGGCGGCCACUGCAAGUCGGUUGUGAAAUCUCCGGGCUUAACCCGGAAAGGUCAAUCGAUACUGCAGGGCUAGAGUGCGGAAGGGGCAACUGGAAUUCUCGGUGUAGCGGUGAAAUGCGUAGAUAUCGAGAGGAACACCUGCGGCGAAGGCGGGUUGCUGGGCCGACACUGACGCUGACAGCGCGAAAGCUAGGGGAGCGAACGGG